CUAGACAUCCAUGUCUAUUGGUUUAAAUCAUGCCCCUUUAAACUGAGACGCAUUAACUGAGUGUUUUGAUUCAGCAGGGUUAAUGAAUAAAGUUCACAGUGAUCAGCACUGUAGGGAGUGAUCUUGGGAACUGUACGAUCUCAGGCCAGGAUUUUUUUCUAACAAAAUUCUUCAAGUUCUAUACAGAAAUCUGGAUUUUCCUGGCUAUUCAGCCCAAAAUGAUUGGGAUUUUUUCAGACAACUGCCUGUGGCAAUUUCACAAGAAAUGGUUUCAAACCUAGUGGGUGAAUGGCUACUCAAGAGAGGAAUAUUACAAAUAUACAGAGAGCCUGUAGGGAAUGGAGAGACAGCUCAAUCAGCAAAUAGAUCUGCUUCAGAAGUCAGAAAGCUUAG